rnacentral:tRNA from 1 species
CUUAACUCAGCUGGUUCAGAGCGUCUGCCUUACAAGCAGAGGGUCGGGGGUUCGAAUCCCUCAGCGCC